UCUUUGUGUUUGAAUGAUUCAAAUCAGAAAUAUUUCUCAAUGAGUAUUCUUGUACUAAGAAUAAGAGGGAGAAGUUGAUGUUUGUUCCUGAAGUAAAAA